GACGAACGCUGGCGGCGUGCUUAACACAUGCAAGUCGAACGGUGAAGCACCUUCCUUUUGGUGGGUGUGGAUGAGUGGCGAACGGGUGAGUAACACGUGAGUAACCUGCCCCCUUCUUCUGGAUAACCGCAUGAAAGUGUGGCUAAUACGGGAUAUUCUGUGCCUGCUGCAUGGUGGGUGUGGGAAAGAUGCGCUUUUGGGUGUUUGUGGUGGGGGAUGGGCUCGCGGGCUAGCAGCUUGUGGGUGGGGGGGUGGCCUACCAAGGCGGUGACGGGUUGCCGGCCUGAGAGGGUGGACGGUCACACUGGGACUGGGACCAGGCCCCGACUCCUACGGGAGGCAGCAGUGGGGAUUAUUGCACAACGGGCGCAAGCCUGAUGCAGCGACGCCGCGUGAGGGAUGGAGGCCUUCGGGUUGUAAACCUCUUUCGCCAGUGAAGCAGGCCUGUCCCUUGUGGGUGGGUUGACGGUAGCUGGAUAAGAAGCGCCGGCUAACUACGU
rnacentral:rRNA from 1 species